rnacentral:rRNA from 1 species
GACGUCCUGCCGGUGGCGCUCCGGGCUCUCGGUCUUGUGUAGGUUCGCCAAAGCAAGUCGAGAGACUCCGGUCGCCGAUUCAAUCCCGCCGCGGUGCUCUUCAUUGAGUGUCGAGGUGGGCCGGCAAAUUUACUUUGAACAAAUUAGAGUGCUUAAAGCAGGCUGAUUUCCGCCUGAAUACUGUGUGCAUGGAAUAAUGGAAUAGGACUUCGGUUCUAUUUUAUUGGUUUUAAGAAACCGAAGUAAUGAUUAAUAGGGACAGGCGGGGGCAUUCGUAUUGCGACGUUAGAGGUGAAAUUCUUGGAUCGUCGCAAGACGUACCUAAGCGAAAGCAUUUGCCAAGUAUGUCCUCGUUAAUCAAGAACGAAAGUUAGAGGUUCGAAGGCGAUCAGAUACCGCCCUAGUUCUAACCAUAAACGAUGCCAGCCAGCGAUCCGCCAAUGUUCCUCCGAUGACUUGGCGGGCAGCUUCCGGGAAACCAAAGCUUUUGGGUUCCGGGGGAAGUAUGGUUGCAAAGCUGAAACUUAAAGGAAUUGACGGAAGGGCACCACCAGGAGUGGAGCCUGCGGCUUAAUUUGACUCAACACGGGAAACCUCACCAGGCCAGGACACUGGAAGGAUUGACAGAUUGAUAGCUCUUUCUUGAUUCAGUGGGUGG